UCAACAGAGUACAAUUGGUAAAAGUCCACACUACCUAUUCAGUGCACUACAUACCAUCGCAUGGUGUACCACAGGGUUAUGUACUCUCUCCUAUCUUAUAUUCUCCCUAUUUAUAAACUCAGCUGUCUGGGUACUACAUCAUUCUAAAAAUCUAAUUUUUGCUGAUGAUACGAAACUCUACCUCCAGAUAAAAUCAAUCGUCGACUGUCAGCUUCUUCAAAAUGACCAUCAACAUUCCCAGGG